UAUAUGUGUGUGUACAUGCUCAUGCACACAUGUGAGCAUACAGACACACAGAACAGACAUGUAACACAUCAAGAUGUACA
rnacentral:miRNA from 1 species